UCCGACAGGAUUAGCGAUAGAAAAAAAACUUUUAUUCUUUUAUCGCCAAUUUUUUUUUCAAAUCACGCAAUGCCACUAUCAUUUUUUUUAAAAUCGGCAAAUUUUUUUAACGAUAUUAUAUCAAGCCCCUAUUCCAAUAAGAGCGUCGAAUAUAUUCGUCCGUUUAGUUUGAUUGAACUAUUUCGCAAGAAAUAUGAAAAAAAGCUUUUUUUUUAAAAAUAACUAUAUAUCAUCCAUUGAUCCUGCUUAAUUGCAAAUCGUAUUUAACAGUUCUAGAAAAGCUUCUUAUAUUUACUUAUUGUCGUCAAUGGCAUACGUAUACUUGCUAACGCGAUUAAUACCAGACGAGGUACGCAUAGAAUAUCAUAUACACGUAUAUAGUAACGAGGCUAAUGAUAGUCAUUAUCCCCUCGAUCACGUGUCCCGUCGAAUCAUUUGUUUAUUGGCACAAGUCGCAAUGGUCAUUCGAAUUGAACUUAUUACAUCAUCUCAGCUAUCAAUAGGCCCGGAUAAAAUCGAACUAAUAAAUGAAAUCGUAAAAGUCAUUGAAAACCCGAAUUCUAUUUCCCUACGAUAUCAAUGAAGUAUCGCCUGUUAAAAAUGACCGUUCGAUUCGACCCAUAUAAAGUCUAAUACGUUAGCCAGUGGCAAGUACAGUUGAAAAUAAGAGGGUGGUACGGAGGAGAAGAAAGAAGUACCUAGAUUUAUAAAUGCCGACAGGUUUCCUGGCACGUGAAAUAUUCGUAUCGUAGGAGACGUCAUUUAAAAAUUCAGAGCGCAGAAGUAAACACACCGGUUAGUAAAUACACGCGUCUACUCAACAUAUGUUACAGACGCGUGUUCCGCCGUCCGCACGUGUGUUCGUACGAUCGGUACAUGCAAUGCUAUACGUAUGUACGAUUGUCGUAAAAAUACGCGUGGCAGCCUUGGACGCUCGAGUGACUUCAGGGCGGGUUUCUCGUGGAGCUACUAGGCGCGUGCGAUUGCCGAUAUAGUAAUUUCGAUUACGACUAAAUUGAACGCGAUACGUCGUCAGGCUGGUUCUCGUCGGUUCGUAAAUGGUAUAUCUUCGCGGCCUUGACAGUAAGCGCGCGAUACGAAUGCACAGUGUAAACUCGCUCUUGAUUACGUGCUCGAGUUGUAUUCUUGUGUGGUGGAAAAUGAGCAAGAGAAAAACAUGGAAAACUCAGAGUACUCGUAAACUUCGAGCGAAAGCGAUUACGUUGUAUUAAUAAAUGUUUUUUAAUAUUAUCGAUACGAUAUCGAGACCAGAAAAGAGGGAGAAGCAUUUUAAGCGUUGACGUUCUAAAUUGCGAGAUUCAUUGGUCAUUUUAUGAUAUCGAUGUAAUAUUGAAAAUAGAGAGAAGGGAGGAUCGUUUUGAGUGAAAUUUCGAAUUGACAAGAUUAAAUAAUUAUUACUUUUUUUUUUUUUUUUUCAUCGUUCGAUCGGUAAUAUUUUCAUUUACAAAUGUUAUUUAAUUGCGACGCCAUUCCAUCGAGGGGCCUCUUUAGUGUUAGUUACAACGUAUUAAAGUCCCCUGAGUCUGAAACCGAUCUAAUACGAUCUGUUUACCGUCCAAGCGCUGUCUGCUCAAUGUAAAUAUCAUCUGGAUGGUCGUGUCGUUUGUGUCGCGAGAGAUUAUUUUCUUUUCUUUAAAUACUUUGCUUUUGUCGAUUUUUCCUCUUUUUUCUUCCAUUGUUGUUCAUGCAACGUUCUUAAGAAAAGACGUGACUUUGAAAUAUGUGCGCUUGUUAAAUACGCGUCACGUGGACGUGUGACUGGGUGUAAAUUUCAUAACGUGGGCGAAUACUAUUAUAAUCGCAGUUUUUAAUAGUGUUUACUAAUUUGAGGAAAGGCGGGCAUAUGCGGCAAGAGACUCUUCGUCGCUUAAUAUUACCAUUUAAUGGUCGAGUUUAUUUAAGGUUAGGAUAGGUUAGGACUCAUGAUUAUCCUCAACAAGAGACCGUGACGAGAGCAGCUUCUAAAUAUAAUAUAUAUAUAUAUUAUAUGAUGUAAAAGUUAUCGAAACAAUCCCCAGUCCUGCAAUCUGUUACGUUCAUUAAUUUGUAUAAACAGCUCUCGACGUUAAGUUUUUACAAUUCAUUUUCAAUUAUGUUGUACAAUAUUCGUGCCGUAUUUUUCAAUAUGGAUAAAUUUAAUUUCGAAUUCAUUAUUCAAGUUAUAAUUAAAUUUAUCAAGUGUUGAAAAAGAAAUUCGUCAAUUUGCAAUAUCGUGCAAGCUAAUAAAAUUUCGAAGUCGUAAGAACCGUCGAAUCGUAGAUUCGGGACUUGAUUAGAGAUUGUUUUUUUUUUAAUUUUUAUCAUUUUUUGUUAAAACCCGUCAUUCACGAAGCAAGACCUAGUCUCGCAAUCGGAAUGACACGCUAUUACAUUUUGACGGAUUACGACGCGCGAAAGAUUAGAGUUGAUUUAUUACGAGUUGUCGAUGGAGAACAGAUAACUAAUAACGUAUAAAACUUUCAACUGCAGAUAUUGCUAGAGCGUGAAGUUUUUGGCCUUGCAAAAUCGAAUAACGUCAACUGAUGUACGUAGGUAAUGCAUAAAGUUAUGAAAAAUUUGACAGAGCAAUUUAAGCAAUAAAAAAGUUACUUAAUUACAUUAAAAUAUUUAAAUAAAAUAUUUUUCAUCAUAAAUCUCCAUACGAACAAUAAAUUCGGUCGACGAUACUGAGUUUGAAAGAUUCCAAAAUUUGAGAAUUUAUUAAAUUUGUGAAAAUAAAUAAUAAUUUUCAAAAUCGAAAUCGACCCGUCCAAACUCAAAUUUGUCGUUGUAUCCAAGAGCCUUGAAUCCGAUCGUGAUAAGGUUAAUGUUAAUAGUCAAUACUGUGGGUCUAAAUUACCAACGGACCUUUAACAAGGAACAAUGUUCCUAAAAGUGAUAUAUCAUUGAUGCACGUAACCGUGGAAACUUUUCUCAUGAAUUUCGAGAGGUGCGAGAAAGAUUCGAACUGAUUCACUCGAGUGGAGAUCAAACGAUGACCAAGGCCAAAUCCAUCAGCCAACCCGUUAAAGCCACUCCGUAAGCAUAGAGCGUGUCGAGAUACAAGUUAGUAGGGACACACUGUGGCAACAGUGGCAAACGUUGCUUACUUUGGCAACGCUGGCGACAACCAGUUUCUUUUCCUCCUGCGCCCGACAGGCUUCUCUUCGCUUGCACGCAUACGUAUAGAAGCUUAAUUAGCCAUCGCGCAACACACUGGACGAACGUUAAAUAACUCUGCGUGCUGUUAUCGAACGUGGGCAUCGGAUCCAUUGUCUUCGCUUUAACGCACGGACUAUUGUUUGUUAAUUUACAUCGCCUCGUUGUAUCUUCGCUAAUGAAGGAUAUAGGAUACCGAGAGGCAAAUGUUUCGAAAACUUCUGUUUCUAUGAAUUCUACGUGUUUCUCUACCCACGCAUUGUGGCAGUCUCUGUAUCUGCGUCUGUGAUUUUGUCGGACAUCCGGUGCACAUAAACACACCGGAUAUUACAACUUGUAGAAGAUUUCAUUUCAAUUUUUCAUCUCAUGAAAAACGUGUUUGACGACACUAUGAAAUGAAAUGAUGUCCGAGAAAAAUAAAAAAACUUUAUUGAUGAUAUUAUGAAAUAUUUAAACAUCUUACAAGAAUUGUAAUGUCGGUAAACUCCAUACGGAGUCGAUAAAGAAAAUGUUUUUAAUAGCUAAAAAUCGAUUGCCUGCGAUUUUUUGUAUUUAUAAUAGUAAAAUAAAAAAAUGUCAAUGAGCAACUGAUCGUUCCAUUAAAAUGCGAUGAUUUGAUAACAAAAUAUAGGUCAGUCUGUGAAUUCAAAUUAUUUGUUUGGGUACUCGAUUAUAUAAUUUUCAAGUAAAAUGACAAACGAAAAUGAUGUAAUAUUUCGUUGAGUAAUUGCUACAGAAAAAAUGUCACCGAUUUUAUGUAUUUUUGGAGGGUUACGUUUGCUCGGGGCCCCCAGGUGCCAAUAACAGCCCUGUCGUAGACGUGAAUGAAGGUGUCACAGACAUCUUGUCUGGCAAGUUCUUAUUAUGAUAAGUAUAUCUAGCGACUGUCGCGACGUUAAUUUCGUCAAUGAUGUGAAGAGAGCCUAAGGCGUCGCGAGGGUGGUAAAGAGGGGCGAGCGGACGCUGCCAGUUCUAAAAAUUGUUGGAAAAAUUCACGAGUUGGCCGAGUGACAACGUUGUGUCAGUAACCCCUCGCAGAAUAACUGCCUGUUUCGAAUCAAUAAUCAAAGUUAAUAAAUCUGUAGAUCGACAUUGAGCGUAUAUGUUUAUAAUUAAUGUCCAAAAAAGAGGAUUUUGUCGAGGAGAAUUGAAAGUUUUCAAACCCCAUAGCACGUUACAGGGAAGAAUGACGUAAGUCUAUAAUAAUAAUUUGUCCUAUAAUCAUUUUCCAAUUAGUAUCAGAUAAUGAUAAAAAAAUUGGAUUAAUCUUACAAAUAAAAAUAUAAUGCUAUUUUUGUAUUCUUAGCAGUGAAACGUGCUGAAAUGGUGAUAAAAUAAAAAUUGGAUUUGGUUCAACUUUUUAAUUGAUUAAAUAUCGAUAAUAAAUACGUCUACUAUUGUGAAGAAAGUUUGUUAACAGAUUGUCCAGAAUUCAUGAAUC